rfam:Triticum aestivum genome assembly, contig: Triticum_aestivum_CS42_TGACv1_scaffold_158587_2DL
CAUGUACUCCCUCCGUCCGGAAAUACUUGUCCUUGAAAUAGUUAUAUCUAGACUUAUUUUAGUUAUAGAUACAUCCAUUCACAACCAUUUUGAAGAUAAGUAUUUCCGGACGGAGGAAGUACUGA